rnacentral:rRNA from 1 species
GUGAGGAAUUUUCCGCAAUGGGCGAAAGCCUGACGGAGCAAUGCCGCGUGAAGGAUGAAGGCCUAUGGGUUGUAAACUUCUUUUCUCAGAAAAGAAUUAUGACGGUAUCUGAGGAAUAAGCAUCGGCUAACUCUGUGCCAGCAGCCGCGGUAAGACAGAGGAUGCAAGCGUUAUCCGGAAUGAUUGGGCGUAAAGCGUCUGUAGGUUGUUUAAAAAGUAUUCUGUCAAAGAUUAGGGCUUAACCCUAGAUAGGCAGAAUAAACUUUUAAGCUAGAGUUUGGUAGAGGCAGAGGGAAUUCCCGGUGGAGUGGUGAAAUGCGUAGAUAUCGGGAGGAACACCAAAGGCGAAGGCACUCUGCUGGGCCAAUACUAACACUGAGAGACGAAAGCGAGGGGAGCAAAUGGGAUUAGAUACCCUAGUAGUCC